rnacentral:rRNA from 1 species
AGUGAACGCUGGCGGUAGGCCUAACACAUGCAAGUCGAACGGCAGCACAGUAAGAGCUUGCUCUUACGGGUGGCGAGUGGCGGACGGGUGAGGAAUAUAUCGGAAUCUACUUUUUCGUGGGGGAUAACGUAGGGAAACUUACGCUAAUACCGCAUACGACCUACGGGUGAAAGCAGGGGAUCUUCGGACCUUGCGCGAUUGAAUGAGCCGAUGUCGGAUUAGCUAGUUGGCGGGGUAAAGGCCCACCAAGGCGACGAUCCGUAGCUGGUCUGAGAGGAUGAUCAGCCACACUGGAACUGAGACACGGUCCAGACUCCUACGGGAGGCAGCAGUGGGGAAUAUUAGACAAUGGGCGCAAGCCUGAUCCAGCCAUACCGCGUGGGUGAAGAAGGCCUUCGGGUUGUAAAGCCCUUUUGUUGGGAAAGAAAAGCAGCAGGUUAAUACCCCGCUGUUCUGACGGUACCCAAAGAAUAAGCACCGGCUAACUUCGUG